UACAGAGGGGGCAAGCGUUGUUCGGAAUUACUGGGCGUAAAGGGCGCGUAGGCGGCCUGCUAAGUCGAACGUGAAAUCCCCGGGCUCAACCCGGGAACUGCGUCCGAUACUGGCAGGCUUGAAUCCGGGAGAGGGAUGUGGAAUUCCUGGUGUAGCGGUGAAAUGCGUAGAUAUCAGGAGGAACACCUGUGGUGUAGACGGCUCUCUGGACCGCAACUGACGCUGAGACACGAAAGCGUGGGUAGCAAACAGG
rnacentral:rRNA from 1 species